CUCGUGACUGCGUGCCUUUUGAAGAAUGAGCCUGCGAGUUUGCGGUGUGUUGCGAGGUUAACCCGGGUGGGGUAGCCGUAGCGAAAGCGAGUCCGAACAGGGCGAUUUUAGUAGCACGCUCAAGACCCGAAGCGGAGUGAUCUAGCCAUGGGCAGGUUGAAGCGGAGGUAAGACUUCGUGGAGGACCGAACCCACCAGGGUUGAAAACCUGGGGGAUGACCUGUGGUUAGGGGUGA
rnacentral:rRNA from 1 species